rnacentral:rRNA from 1 species
GACGAACGCUGGCGGCGUGCUUAACACAUGCAAGUCGAACGGAAAGGCCCUGCUUUUGUGGGGUGCUCGAGUGGCGAACGGGUGAGUAACACGUGAGUAACCUGCCCUUGACUUUGGGAUAACUUCAGGAAACUGGGGCUAAUACCGGAUAGGAGCUCCUGCUGCAUGGUGGGGGUUGGAAAGUUUCGGCGGUUGGGGAUGGACUCGCGGCUUAUCAGCUUGUUGGUGGGGUAGAGGCUUACCAAGGCUUUGACGGGUAGCCGGCCUGAGAGGGUGACCGGCCACAUUGGGACUGAGAUACGGCCCAGACUCCUACGGGAGGCAGCAGUGGGGAAUAUUGCACAAUGGGCGGAAGCCUGAUGCAGCAACGCCGCGUGCGGGAUGACGGCCUUCGGGUUGUAAACCGCUUUCGCCUGUGACGAGGCGUGAGUGACGGUAAUGGGUAAAGAAGCACCGGCUAACUACGUG